rnacentral:lncRNA from 1 species
UUUCAUCAAGGGGCGGACUCAUUACCGUGCCAAAGCUAAUGUACACGACUGAUGCAGAGUCUUGCUUGUCCAACCACGAUAGGCAUUCAUCAUUCUCAUCAGUUGAAGUCGAUUUUUUUGAGGUUGAAAUUAAGGGUGAAGAGCUAACGUUGAGGAAUUUUUUGAACUUGGACUUGGGAUCAGUUGUGAUGGCUGGAUCUAUCUCUUCGAAGGAGUUGAUCACAACAGCAGUUGCUCGCUGAAGAUUCAAUGCCAUGUUGUAGACCAUAUGAGCCAAUGGUGAUUCUUGAUUAUCCAUGAGAACUUCGUUGGGCAAGUCAUUGAUCUAUAUUCCUUGCAAUCCGGGAAUCAACUCAAGAGUCUGGUCUCUUUCCUCGGCAAUUUGGUUGAACAUAGACAAAGCAAUGUUGUGAAUUGCAUACAUUUCAUUUUUGUUGAACAAGGUGCGAUAAAUUCAUGAGACAAAAUAUACCCCAAGUCAAAUUAAACACGAUUUAUGCAUUUUUUUCUUGCUUUGCCAUAGGGCUUUCAAAUGGAACAAAGGAAUUGUUUUUUACAAAAACAGUGUCAACCAUAUUAGAUUUCAGAUGUUAUAUGUUACACACUAUGGCGAUAGUUAAUAAAUUUCCCAAUUGUUGUAUGGCUAUUCUUCCCCAUCUUACUUAUUGUUCCCACAAAAUGUAAAGAUGGAGCAAAUUGGAUGCUUGAUUAUGGUUUCGCUGCUUAUAUUUACUAAAAAGAAUUUUAAAAUUUUUAGUUUCUGUUGAUCUUAAAGAAUGUUGACGAAGUGGCAAAAAACUUUCGUAGUACCGGCUAAGUCAACUGGAGGAGUUUUUUCUAGGCAAAAAAGAAUAAACAGGGCAAGAGUUACACCAAUAGUAGAAUUCUACCAAUGCUUAAAAGAAGAAAUCCUCUGUGGAAAAGUAAUAACACAAAGAACUCUAAAAAACAUGGCAUAUGCUGACUGAUAACAAACAUUAGAUUUGCGAUGGAAUGAAUGCAUGCUAACCUAGGUUUUGAAAAAUAAAAUAAAAAAUCAUGUGUAUAUACUGACCUAAUUUGACAGGAGGGUUGAGAAAUGCAAAAUAUCUUAUGGAGAAAAUGACAAAAACAUGAAAAAUCUGAAGUAUGUUUAUCCAAUUCCCUAUACUUUGGUUCUGAUUGUCAAAAGUGACUCUGUAGUAUGUAGGGCUUAGAAAAUUUAUCUUUCUAACGAAGUAAAUGCUAUGUAUUUUGAGUUGAUUCUCAGGUUAUGAGAAUGCAAAAAAUAACCACGUUUUAUUCAAUUGAGUUGAGAUCAUAUAUUUUACCCAACUUUCCCACUUAGGAGAAAGCUUCUUCAAUCCGAGGAUGACAGGUAUAAUUCCGUCCAGAGGGUGGAGGGGGCUGCAUGCAUGAUUUCAGUACAUUUUGAAAGCACUAUCUGGCCCUUUUACACUUUAGGUUUAUUUGCUCUGCUUUAUCUCUUGUUUCUCCGGAUAACAUGAUUGUCCAUAACUGAAAAAGGGAAGCUAUUAGUCAGAUAUCUCUCUAAAACUAACUGGAUUGACAAAGUCGGCUGCAAGAUACUGCUCUUCAUGUCCAAUUUGUAAGGUACAGAGGUUUUGCCUGUCCUGAUUCUCUAAACGUGUGACAAUCUACUGAUUGAAGUGAUUUAAGAAUUCACAAAAAUUCCCAUUUUUUACAUUCAUCAAAUAUGUAAAUAUAAUGUACGUCUUUGAAACUUCCGCAAGCAAACAUUGUCUUUUUUUUUUUAAUGUUAAGAAAAUGAAAAGCAUGAGACUGGAACGAAAAUCUGUCCAAAUCCUGCAAUGCAAGCCCAUUAUUUCCUCAAAACACUUCGCGAUAUUUGUUCCCCACCACCAAAAAAAUGAAAAAAAAAAUCCCCCAAAGAAGAAAGAAGAAGUUGAUUUUUACAAAAAUCCUUUGGAAGUCGAUGUUCUUUGGUAGUCUGUAAACCUUUUUUCUUUCUUUGGGUGCUGUCCUUUCCUCGUGUUAUAAAUUCUUGAUUUACGUCCUCGAGAAUUUUGAAGAAUAACCUUGAAGAAAAUAAAGAUUUUGUUCCCCAAGUUGGCCUGGGUUCCUUUCACAAGUCACAACCCCACAAGGAAAUACACAAGCAAAAGGAAAGAUCGUAUACAGAAUCAGCCGUCUAGUCUCCCAAAGCUAUCGGGUGAGGGAUAGAAGAUAUAGUCUGGUUUUAUGCAUUCUUAUCUGUUCAAUUGAUGGAUCUUUCUGGCUUAUCCCUUUACCCUAACAUUCUACUUGAGAGUAGCAUUAAGUUUUAUGUUCCAAUCUCCAAUAAUACAAGAUUAAUCAUUUUAUUAGUACAGCAGUAUAUACAAACUUCAUCACCAGCAAUUAUUGAAGAUGGACAUAGCUAGAGCAAUCCCCGGAAUUAAACACAACAUCUUAGCAGAAACUAUUGUACGAAAAACUUUAAUACAUGUCCCUCAAUUUCCUAAACGAAAACUCCCGGACUCCCCACCAACUUCCUUACCUUCAUAGCUCAAGGGUUUAGUCAAUUGGUGAUCAUCUCUACCAAAAUUUCGAAAUUCUUAGUAGAUCUCCCAUUUGGUCCUACAGCCUUCAGAGCAAGCUCUUUGUAGGUUAAAAUGUGUUCCUUCAACUUCUUCCCUUUUGCACUUGACAAAACUAGUUCAAGAGCUAGAGCUGUUGCAUCUUUUGUAAACGAACCACCUUCGAUUCUCACCCCGAUUUUCCAAAUCUUUUCCACCAUCCAAGAAUUCAACUGAUGAUCACCAAAAAAUGGCCUACAAAUAAUUGGAACACCAGCAGCUAUACUUUCCACCACUGAAUUCCAUCCAGAGUGAUUUACAAAAGCUCCAAUGGAAUGAUGAGCUAAAACUUGCACCUGAGGAGCCCAUGGUACAAUUUUCCCAAUGACAUUUGUCCUUUCCAAGAAUCCAUCUGGCAAAUUGGACUUAAAAUUGUCCUUAAGCGACCAAAGAAAUGGAGUAUUACUUGCUUCUAAUGCUUCAGCCAAUGCUUUUAGCUCGUGGGCCGGAGGAGUUGCCAUUGUUCCAAAGCCAAUGUAUACGACAGAUCCUAGUUUUUGCUUGUCUAGCCAUGGAAUGCAGCCGUGCACGUCCGAGAUAUUAGCCAAUGGAGGUGGAGAUGUCAAGUUGAAGGGGCCAACAUUGAGGACAUUCUUGAACUUGGAUUUUAGAUCUUCAAUGACUGGGGGGUCUAAUUCUUCGAAGGAGUUAAUUGGCAAAGCAUUUGCUCGGGGUAGGGUUUGUCCCAUCUUAUAGAGCAUGACUGAGAAUGGGGAUUCCAUGUCCCCACAGACUACUCCACUAGGCAAAUCGCCAAGCCGAACUUCAGAAAAUCCAGGAAUGAAUUUAACAAGUUCAUCUUCACGUCCAGCUAUGCCUAAAAGAUCAUAACGAGGCAUAGAAUGUCACCCUCUAUUACAACUCUUACGUCACAAGCAGCUGAAAACACAACAAAAUAGAUUUUUCAAAUCACAAUCUAAAAUCAUAUCUUAAAAUCAGUUGAGACUAAGCCCUUUAUCAAAAUUCAUUUCUAGUCAAACUAAGAUCAUUUUGCGAUGAAAGAACUAAUCUGUUAUGAUUUUCCAAGUUGACAAAUUUCCACCAUGUAUUUGAAUUUGUGGUAACAUUUUUUUUUUUCACACUACAAAGGGUACGGUGGCUUAGAACCCUAAACACAUAGUAAUUCAGUAAUUGGACGUCAUCUUAAUUCAGUAAGUAACACAAACAACUUUAAGCCGAGUAUCGAGACUGCAAAAAGGAAAAGAAAAGGGAUAAAAAGAAUGACACUUUUUGUCUUUUCUAGGACUUUUAUUCGGGAAAUGAUAGAGGAAUUUCCAAGAAAAGAGAUAUAAUUGAGUAGUUAAUGAAAAUCCUUUUCAGCCAGGUGCAACCAAAAAUGGAGAGACAAUGAAAUACUACAGGUUAAAAGCAAAUUUAUGACCUCACAUCUGUUGAGAUAUAAAGAAGAAAAACACUCGAUGAAAAGAAUUCUUUCUUUUUUCACCCAAAAGUAUUAGAAAAGAUAUUAAUAGAUAUCAGCAAUUGUCCAGUCGUGACAAAAGGAGAUAAUUUGAUCAAGUCUUUUCUAUUGUCACGGGUACCAUCUACUCUUUUCACUCAGAACACCCAAACAGGGUCCAAAAGGAGAUAAUUUUGUGAUUUUCUUGUCAAGUAAGAUAAAAAUAUGCAUCGAAAACUAACAAAAAGUAUUGAUUGAUAUACAAAACUGAGCCUAUUGAAAUAUUUAGGUAAUGAAAUGGGGAUUUAUGAACUAGGUAUGACUCGUAACAAUUUUGAUCGGCUUAAUUUUGUCGUUUUCUUGUCAAGUUAGAUAAGAUGUGCAUCAAAAACUAACAAAAGAUGACGGUGAUAGUUGACUGCAAGAAAAGAACAAUCAUCAAAUAUGUCACCCAUUUUGAUUACUUUUACGUUGUUUGUCUUUCGCAACAUUGAGAAAAAACACCAUUAAGACAAUGCAAGUACAAGACCGACCUAAUUAACCAUUAACCAGGUGGCAACCAUAGAUUAUCAAACUAAGAUGCCGAGCAGAGGUCGAUUGAUCAGUUUUCGUGUUCUAACCUUCUGCUACCAUUAAUUAACCUUCUAGAGUCUUGAAUAACAUAAUUAAUUAAUUGCUAGGUACGUUUACUGAUGAACUGAUUGAUCAUGCUCAUAAUCCAUGCUCAUAAUCAUAAUGACCAAGGAAAUACACAGAGUAAUUAAAAGAAUGGUACCAUCUCCAGUGCCAAGAGUUUGCCUGAUGAGUUCCGUGUAGAAAUGAAUGGACAGAGACCCUGCUGCAGAUGUCCAAACGGGCACCCAAGAAACCCCCUUUUUCUCCGCGAUCUCACAGGAAAACCAGAGAAAAGCAUCCGCUACCACGCAGCUGACCCUCCUUCUAGUAUCCCUUUCAGCUGCCUCCAUAGCUCUCCUAAAAUUCUCCGGUGCCACUUUCAAGAAAAGAUCAAUAUCCUCCAUUGGCCUGCCAGCGAAAACAUAGCCAUCAGGCACCCCAUUCGGGACAUCAUAGGCCUUAACGUUAUCAUCACCAAUGUUUGAUGAUGAUGAGAAUAGGGAAGCAUUGGAUUUGGCUGUGCUGAAAAAGGAAAACGUUACAUUUGGGGCAGCUUUUGCUAGCCUACUUAUGAGUCCUAGGAGAAGGCCUGCAUGAGUCGCAAAGGGGAAUGCAAGAACCGCAACAUGUUUUUGGCUUGAGGAACUUAUGUUAGUCAUUUUCCAAGGGCAGUGAUAAUUUUUGCUCGCAGUCUAUAGGCUUGAGCAAUUAUGCGUCGAAUGUAGCAGAGAUUAGAGUUACGUAUAUAGCGGUACGAAGGUAGAAUUUCUUCCACACCUUUUUCCUACUCUUGCUCUUUAUGACCACAAUUAGAAUAAAAAAUUAUUCAUGCAAUUUAACUUGUAGUGAUUAAUUUUGGUCUUAGUAGCUAAUUGUUAAUGUUUGUACAAUGUAGUGAUCUGCACACAUAUUAUUAUUGUGUUUCAGAAAAAACCACUUUUAUACAGCAAGUCUUUUCUUUCAACAUUAAAAGGGCGUACGUCAUUUUUCCCUUUCAUAUAAAUUAAAGGAGGGUAGAUAGGCAAUUCAAAAGCUUAUUAUGCAUGAGUAGCCUAGUAGUUGAAGAUUUUAAGGAGGUUUGCUCUUUCAUAUUCGGGUUGAGUAAGUUUGAAGAGAGGUUGGUAGGAGGAAACGCCAUGCGCUAGACACGUUGCUGAGGCUUCAACCCCUAAUCCGAAAUUCCAAUCAAUGAGAAACAUCAUCUGCAGGGUUUGCAAAUGCACUUCAUCCACCCACUUUCCAGUCAGAAGUUCCAAUCAAGAGUUCAAUCAAUGCUUAUGGUGUUGUUUUGGACAUUGCCGCACCCGGGCCUGCCUUUCAAUGAUUUCUAUUAGGCCGAUUGCAUAUCAAUUCUUUUUUUCUUUUUUUUCCAAUUCCCAAAUCCCAACUGUUAACUUCUAACUGCUUAUUUAGACCCCAAAAAAAAUUCUAGUUGCUUAUAAAGUCUAAAGAAUUUGAGACCAUAUUAAUCACCUCAAUUACAUUGCUUCUUCAGUCCUUACUAUAUGGUAGAAGGAGAGGCUUUAAUAAAAAUGAAAAUUACUGGAGAAUAAAUUUUCCUACACCUAAACAAAAAACCAUAAAAUAAGCUCGCAAUUCUUGAAUGAAUAAGUGAGCAUACUUACUGUAAAUGGGCUACAUGGAGUAGGCGUGCUUGCAACACAUUGCACUCAAGACUUUGUUACUACCUCAAAUAAUUCUUCAAAAUUUCUUGUCGAACUACCAUUUGGUUUAACAGGAUCCGAGGCUUUUGCUCUAAGCUCUUGAACAUUCUCUCUGAUUGUUUUACCCUUGUCACUGGACAAAAUAUGUUGUAUGGCACUGAUUGUUCCAUUCUUGGUAAAUACGCCUCCUUCAAUUUUCAAACCAAUUCUCCAUCCAUCUUGUACCUUCCAACUGUUCAAUUUUUGAUCGCCAAAAUAUGGCCUACAUAUCAUAGGCACCCCAUGUGAAAUACUCUCCAGAAUAGAAUUCCAGCCACAAUGUGUUACAAAUACUCCAAUUGCAGAAUGUGCCAAGACUAGCACCUGAGGAGCCCAUGCAACAAAUUUACCAUGACUCUUGCUUGCUCGAUCGAUAAAUCCAUCUGGCAAAAGCUUCCUAGCAUGGUCCCUCAAUGACCACAGAAAUGAAACCUUAAUAGCUUCCAGAGCCUCAGCUAAAGCUACCAUUUCAUCAAGGGGCGGACUCAUUACCGUGCCAAAGCUAAUGUACACGACUGAUGCAGAGUCUUGCUUGUCCAACCACGAUAGGCAUUCAUCAUUCUCAUCAGUUGAAGUCGAUUUUUUUGAGGUUGAAAUUAAGGGUGAAGAGCCAACGUUGAGGAAUUUUUUUGAACUUGGACUUGCGAUCAGUUGUGAUGGCUGGAUCUAUCUCUUCGAAGGAGUUGAUCACAACAGCAGUUGCUCGCUGAAG